CAAUAGCGUAUAUUAAAGUUGUUGCAGUUAAAAAGCUCGUAGUUGGACUUCAAGAAGCGCAUCUGGGCAACCAGUUUGCCUUCUACCAGCCCUAGGCUGUUACUGUGAGAAAAUUAGAGUGUUUCAAGCAGGCUUUUGCAGGAAUACAUUAGCAUGGAAUAACGAAUGUGUCUACAAUUUGGUUGAUUGUAGGUUACAAUUAAUAGGGACAGUUGGGGGCAUUAGUAUUUAAUAGUCAGAGGUGAAAUUCUUGGAUUUGUUAAAGACUAACGUAUGCGAAAGCAUUUGCCAAGGAUGUUUNCAUUAA
rnacentral:rRNA from 1 species